GACGAACGCUGGCGGCGUGGAUUAGGCAUGCAAGUCGAACGGUAGGAUACCUUCGGGUAUCUGAGAGUGGCGAACGGGUGAGUAACACGUAGGUGAUCUACCCUCAAGAUUGGGACAACCCAGGGAAACUUGGGCUAAUACCGGAUGAAAGCAGCAGUGAUGUUGUUUGAAAGGUGGCGUAAGCUGCCGUUUGGGGAUGAGCCUGCGCUCUAUUAGUUAGUUGGCGGGGUAAAGGCCCACCAAGGCGAUGAUAGAUAGGCGGCCUUAACGGGUGGUCGCCCACACUGGGAUUGAGAUACGGCCCAGACUCCUACGGGAGGCAGCAGUCGAGAAUAGUCUACAAUGGCCGAAAGGCUGAUAGUGCGACGCCGCGUGAACGAUGAAUCCCUUCGGGGUGUAAAGUUCUUUUAUAUGUGAGCAGUGCUUCUUAUAUUAACAGUAUGGGGAGAGAUAUUAGCAUAUGAAUAAGCAACGGCUAACUCCGUGCCAGCAGCCG
rnacentral:rRNA from 1 species